rnacentral:lncRNA from 1 species
UAAUGCAGCGGACAGUGAUACGGUCACUGAGCCACUUCUGAUAAGUGUCUCUGACUGUACCCCGUGCAUUAGCAGCAGGCUGCUCAGGUGCCGGAUUCGUUAUCACAUAAAGGAUCCGUUCAUGCUCUAGCACUAUCUUAAGUUUUCUAAGCCACUUAUUGAAAUUGGGUCCAGUCAACUUGUCAUUAUCCAACAUUGAACGAAGUGACAGAUUAGUGGUCAUUUCUGCAUAAAAAGAAAAUCGGCUAUCAGUAUAUGAACUGACAAUACCCUAAAUACUUAGACUUUAGUCUAAAGAUUUUUCUACUAUUUUAUACAAAUUUGUAGCCUCUACCUCAAA